rnacentral:rRNA from 2 species
AGACCCGAAACCCGGUGAUCUAGCCAUGGGCAGGUUGAAGGUUGGGUAACACUAACUGGAGGACCGAACCGACUAAUGUUGAAAAAUUAGCGGAUGACCUGUGGCUGGGGGUGAAAGGCCAAUCAAACCGGGAGAUAGCUGGUUCUCCCCGAAAGCUAUUUAGGUAGCGCCUCGUGAAUUCAUCUCCGGGGGUAGAGCACUGUUUCGGCUAGGGGGCCAUCCCGGCUUACCAACCCGAUGCAAACUGCGAAUACCGGAGAAUGUUAUCACGGGAGACACACGGCGGGUGCUAACGUCCGUCGUGAAGAGGGAAACAACCCAGACCGCCAGCUAAGGUCCCAAAGUCAUGGUUAAGUGGGAAACGAUGUGGGAAGGCCCAGACAGCCAGGAUGUUGGCUUAGAAGCAGCCAUCAUUUAAAGAAAGCGUAAUAGCUCACUGGUCGAGUCGGCCUGCGCGGAAGAUGUAACGGGGCUAAACCAUGCACCGAAGCUGCGGCAGCGACGCUGAUGCGUUGUUGGGUAGGGGAGCGUUCUGUAAGCCUGCGAAGGUGGCCUGUGAGGGUUGCUGGAGGUAUCAGAAGUGCGAAUGCUGACAUAAGUAACGAUAAAGCGGGUGAAAAGCCCGCUCGCCGGAAGACCAAGGGUUCCUGUCCAACGUUAAUCGGGGCAGGGUGAGUCGACCCCUAAGGCGAGGCCGAAAGGCGUAGUCGAUGGGAAACGGGUUAAUAUUCCCGUACUUGGUGUUACUGCGAAGGGGGGACGGAGAAGGCUAUGUUGGCCGGGCGACGGUUGUCCCGGUUUAAGCGUGUAGGUGUGUGUUCCAGGUAAAUCCGGUUCACUUUAACACUGAGGCGUGACGACGAGGCACUACGGUGCUGAAGCAACAAAUGCCCUGCUUCCAGGAAAAGCCUCUAAGCAUCAGGUAACAC